rnacentral:misc_RNA from 1 species
GAAAUGCGAUACGUAAUGUGAAUUGCAGAAUUCAGUGAAUCAUCGAAUCUUUGAACGCACAUUGCGCUCUCUGGUAUUCCGGAGAGCAUGCUUGUUUGAGUAUCAGUAAACACCUCAAUUUCAUGAUUCUUAAUUUUGAAAUUGGACUUGAGCAGAUCCCAACGUACAUUUAACUGUGUGGAGGGUUGCUUCAAAUGCAGGUGCAGCCGAUCAUUCUUCUGGGCUAAAAGCAUUAUCUAGUUAAUCCCGUAAAACGGAUUAUUCACUUUAUUGCUGCAGCUUACCCUAUAUAAAAGGAAGACAUGGCCAUUGUGCUGACUGAUGCAGGAAUUCUCAGAGGUCUGUAAAGACUUUUGAAAACUCGAUCUCAAAUCAAGUAAGACUACCCGCUGAACUUAA